AACGUAGGUGGCGAGCGUUAUCCGGAUUUACUGGGCGUAAAGCGCGUGUAGGCGGUUUGCCAAGUUGGAUGUGAAAGCCUUGGGCUUAACCCAAGAAAUGCAUUCAGUACUGGCAGACUAGAGGACCGGAGAGGAUAGUGGAAUUCCCAGUGUAGUGGUGAAAUACGUAGAGAUUGGGAAGAACACCAGUGGCGAAGGCGGCUAUCUGGACGGUUUCUGACGCUAAGACGCGAAAGCGUGGGGAGCAAACAGG
rnacentral:rRNA from 1 species